CUCAUGGAGAGUUUGAUCCUGGCUCAGGAUGAACGCUGGCAGCAUGCUUAACACAUGCAAGUCGAACGGGAAGUGGUGUUUCCAGUGGUGAACAGGUGAGUAACACGUAAGAACCUGCCCUUGGGAGGGGAACAACAACUGGAAACGGUUGCUAAUACCCCGUAGGCCGAGGAGCAAAAGGAGAAAUCCGCCCAAGGAGGGGCUCGCGUCUGAUUAGCUAGUUGGUGAGGUAAUAGCUUACCAAGGCGAUGAUCAGUAGCUGGUCCAAGAGGAUAAUCAGCCACACUGGGACUGAGACACGGCCCAGACUCCUACAGGAGGCAGCAGUGGGGAAUUUUCCGCAAUGGGCGAAAGCCUGACGGAGCAAUGCCGCGUGGAGGUGGAAGGCUUACGGGUCGUCAACUUCUUUUCUCGGAGAAGAAACAAUGACGGUAUUUGAGGAAUAAGCAUCGGCUAACUCUGUGCCAGCAGCCGCGGUAAGACAAAGGAUGCAAGCGUUAUCCGGAAUGAUUGGGCGUAAAUCGUCUAUAGGUGGCUUUUCAAGUCCGCCGUCAAAUCCCAGGGCUCAACCCUGGACAGGCGGUGGAAACUACCAAGCUGGAGUACGGA
rnacentral:ncRNA from 1 species